CAGUUUAUCCUGGCUCAGGAUGAACGCUGGCGGCGUGCCUAAUACAUGCAAGUCGAACGAGGUGCUUUUGUAGCAAUACGAGAGUAUCCUAGUGGCGAACGGGUGAGUAACGCGUUGGUGACCUACCCCAAAGUGUGGGAUAACAGUCCGAAAGGAUUGCUAAUACCGCAUGUGGUUAUUGGAUUUAGAAACCGAUAACUAAAGGAGCAAUUCGCUUUGGGAGGGACCUGCGUCCCAUCAGCUAGUUGGUGAGGUAAUGGCUCACCAAGGCUACGACGGGUAGGGGACCUGAGAGGGUGACCCCCCACAAUGGAACUGAAACACGGUAUUAUACACCUACGGGUGGCAGCAGUAGGGAAUAUUACACAAUGGGCGAAAGCCUGAUGCAGCAACGCCGCGUGUGUGAUGAAGGCCUUCGGGUCGUAAAGCACUUUUCUGGGAGCCAGAAAGGACAGUAUCCCAGGAAUAAGUCUCGGCUAACUACGUGCCAGCAGCCGCGGUAAAACGUAGGAGGCAAGCGUUAUCCGGAUUCACUGGGCGUAAAGCGCGUGCAGGCGGUGCGGUAAGUAUGGCGUGAAAUCUCCCGGCUCAACUGGGAGAGGUCGUCUAAUACUACCGUACUUGAGAGCAGAAGAGGAAGAUGGAAUUCCCGGUGUAGUGGUGAAAUGCGUAGAUAUCGGGAGGAACACCAGUGGCGAAGGCGAUAUACACUGGUCUGUUUCUGACGCUCAGACGCGAUAUAGCUAGGGUAGUAAACGGGAUUAGAGACCCCGGUAAUCCUAGCCGUAAACGAUGUGAACUUGGCGUUGGUGGGUUAAACUCCAUCAGUGCCGUAGCAAACGCGAUAAGUUCACCGCCUGGGGACUACGGCCGCAAGGUUAAAACUCAAAGGCAGUUUGACGGGGGCCCGCACAAGCAGCGGAGCGUGUGGUUUAAAUAUCUUUGCUACACGAAGAACCUUACCCAGGCUUGACAUACAGGUGGUAGGGAUCCGAAAGGUGACCGACCCGCAAGGGAGCCUGAACAGGUGUUGCAUGUAUUCGUCAGCUCGUGCACAGAUAUUCGGUUAAGUCCGCUAACGAGCGCAACCCCAGGCUGUGUGUUACAAGUGUAUCGCAGGACCGCCGGUUUUAAGCCGGAGGAAGGUGGGGAUGACGUCAAGUCAGCAUGGCCUUUAUGCCUGGGGCUACACACACGCUACAAUGGGCAGUACAAUGGGUUGCAUAUAGCCGCGAGGUGGAGCCAAUCCCCCAAAACUGUCCUCAGUUCUAGAUUGCAGGCUGCAUUGCCUGCAUGAAGCCGGAGCACAGUAUUUAAACGCGCGUCAGCUAUAGUGCUAUGAAUACGUUUCGGGCCUUGUACACACCGAUUGUCACGUCAUGGGAGCUGGUAACACCUGAAGCCGGUAGCCUAACCGCAAGGAGGGUAUAUCG
rnacentral:rRNA from 1 species